rnacentral:lncRNA from 1 species
GGGAGCAGGACAACUCGGACAACAACACCAUCUUCGUGCAGGGGCUGGGCGAGAACGUCACCAUCGAGUCCGUGGCCGACUACUUCAAACAGAUCGGGAUCAUCAAGACCAACAAGAAGACCGGCCAGCCCAUGAUCAAUCUCUACACUGACCGCGAGACGGGGAAGCUGAAGGGAGAGGCCACCGUGUCCUUCGACGACCCGCCUCGGCCAAGGCCGCCAUCGACUGGUUCGACGGUCAGAAUUCCCAAAUUCCCUCAAAUUCCCGAAUUCCCCAUCCCAAAAACCCCAAAUCCCCAAAAACCCCUAUCCGAAAAAUCCCAAAAUUACCAAAAAUCCCCAAUUUCCUGCUCCCAAAAUUCCUGAAAAUCCCCAAUUCCCGUGUCCGUCGAUGACCAGGCUUCAGCCAAGGCCACCAUCAACUGGUUCGACGGUCAGAAUUCCCAAAUUUCCUCAAAUUCCCAAAAUUCCGCAUCCCAGAAAUCCCAGAUUCCCAAAAUUCCCUAUUCCAAAAAUCCCAAAAUUACCAAAAAUCCCCAAAUUCCCGUGUCCUUCGACGACCUGCCCUCGGCCAAGGCCGCCAUCGACUGGUUCGACGGUCAGAAUUCCCAAAUUUCCUCAAAUUCCCGAAAUUGCCCAUCCCAAAAACCCCAAAUUCCCAAAAUUCCCCAUCCCAAAAAUCCCAAAAUUACCAAAAAUCCCCCAAAUUCCCGUGUCCUUCGAUGACUGCCCUCGGCCAAGGCCGCCAUCGACUGGUUCGACGGGAAGGAAUUCUCGGGGAACCCCAUCAAGGUCUCCUUCGCCACUCGUCGCGCCGACUUCAGCCGAGGGGCGGCCGGGCCGCGGCCGGGGAGGUGAGCGCCCCAAAAUCCCCUUUUUUCACCCCAAAACUAACAUUUCCCGUCUCAAAAUCACAUUUCCCAUCCCAAAAUCACAUUUUCCAUCCCAAAAAUCCCCAUUUUCGAUCCCAAAAAUCCUCUUUUUUUUCCCCCAAAAUCCCUGCUUGUCCCAAAAUACCCUUUUCCAUCUCAAAAUCCCAUUUUCUUUCCCAAAAUCCCUUGUUUUUCCAUCCCUUUUUCCCAAAAUCCCCAGUUUUUAUCCCAAAAUCCUAUUUACUAUCCCAAAAUCCUCAUUUUGUCCCCCAAAAUCCCCAUCUUUUCCCAAAAUCUCAAUUUUUCGCCCAAAAAUCCCUUCUUGUCCCAAAGUACCCUUUUCCAUCUCAAAAUACCCUUUUCCACCCAAAAUUCCCAUUUUCCACCCCAAAAUUCCCAUUAUCCAUCCCUUUUUAUCCCAAAAUUCCAUUUACCAUCCCAAAAUCCUUUUUUUAUCCCAUUUUUCCCAAAUCCCCCCUUUUCACCCCAAAAUUCCCAUUUUCUCCCCCAAAAUCUCCUUUUUUCACCCCAAAAUCCCUGCUUGUCCCAAAAUACCCUUUUCCAUCUCAAAAUCCCAUUUUCCCCCCCAAAAUUCGUUUUUUCCAUCCAUUUUUUCCCAGAUCCAAUUUUUCACCCCAAAAUUCCUUUUUUCCAUCCCUUUUUCCCAAAAUCUACAUUUUUUAUCCCAAAAUCUCAUUUUUCAUCCCAAAAUCCCCAUUUUCCCCCCAAAAUACCCUUUUUUCACCCAAAAUACCCUUUUUCCAUCCCAAAAAUCCCCAUUUUCCAUGCCAUAAUCCUCUUUUUUCUCCCCCAAAAUCCCCAUCUUUUCCCAAAAUCUCCAUUUUUCACCCAAAAAUCCCUUCUUGUCCCAAAAUACCCCUUUUCCAUCUUAAAAUCCAUUUUCUUUCCCAAAAUCCCUUGUUUUUCCAUCCCUUUUUUCCCCAAAUCCUCAUUUUUCAACCCAGAUUUCCCAUUUUUCACCCCAAAAUUCUUUUUCCAUCCCUUUUUCCCAGAAUCCCCAUUUUUUAUCCCAAAAUCCCAUUUACUAUCCCAAAAUCCUCAUUUUGUCCCCCAAAAUCCCCAUCUUUUCCCAAAAUCUCCAUUUCUCACCCCAAAAUCCCCUUUUUUCACCCCAAAAUCCCAUUUUCCAUCUCAAAAUCCCAAUUUCCAUCCCAAAUUCCAUUUCCCGUCUCAAAAUCCCAUUUUCCAUCCCAAAAGUCCCCAUUUUCCAUCCCAUAA